CCGUUCAGGGGUAAACCUGCGAAACUCGAAUGAACGAACGGGGAGAUUCAUCGUCACUCCGCGGCGUACGUGCGCGCGCCUCGAUGUCGUCCGAUCUCGGUCGUGCGACACGACGCGCGUACGUCGACGUCCGCGGACGGCGUGCACUUCUCCCUCAGUAAUACAUCGCGACCCGUUCGAUGUCGGUCUAAGCGCAGUUCGGGAGCCCCGUCGUGCCUCUCAACGGGGGCGCGGUGGGACCGCGACUGUCGCCGACCGGCCGUCGGACGGUAUAGUUUGACGAAUCGCGCACGCGUUUACGGCGCGUCCGGCCCGACGCAAGGCAACGUCGUAUCCCGUGUCCUGCCACAGCGCGGACUCGGGUGCGGCGCGCCUGUCGUCGCUGCCGUGCAGUCUCGGACAUCAAGUGCGCGUCUCUGUCUGCGAUGAUUCAGUUUCGGGCACUCGCA
rnacentral:rRNA from 1 species